UCAGGACGAACGCUGGCGGCGUGCUUAACACAUGCAAGUCGAACGAUGAUGCCCAGCUUGCUGGGUGGAUUAGUGGCGAACGGGUGAGUAACACGUGAGUAACCUGCCCCUGACUCUGGGAUAAGCGUUGGAAACGACGUCUAAUACUGGAUAUGAUCACUGGCCGCAUGGUCUGGUGGUGGAAAGAUUUUUUGGUUGGGGAUGGACUCGCGGCCUAUCAGCUUGUUGGUGAGGUAAUGGCUCACCAAGGCGACGACGGGUAGCCGGCCUGAGAGGGUGACCGGCCACACUGGGACUGAGACACGGCCCAGACUCCUACGGGAGGCAGCAGUGGGGAAUAUUGCACAAUGGGCGAAAGCCUGAUGCAGCAACGCCGCGUGAGGGAUGACGGCCUUCGGGUUGUAAACCUCUUUUAGUAGGGAAGAAGCGAAAGUGACGGUACCUGCAGAAAAAGCACCGGCUAACUACGUGCCAGCAGCCGCGGUAAUACGUAGGGUGCAAGCGUUGUCCGGAAUUAUUGGGCGUAAAGAGCUCGUAGGCGGUUUGUCGCGUCUGCUGUGAAAUCCCGAGGCUCAACCUCGGGCUUGCAGUGGGUACGGGCAGACUAGAGUGCGGUAGGGGAGAUUGGAAUUCCUGGUGUAGCGGUGGAAUGCGCAGAUAUCAGGAGGAACACCGAUGGCGAAGGCAGAUCUCUGGGCCGUAACUGACGCUGAGGAGCGAAAGCAUGGGGAGCGAAC
rnacentral:rRNA from 1 species